rnacentral:rRNA from 1 species
AUGAAGGCGAAAGAACAAAACAAUAAGGUUCUCCGGUGGUUCUUCUUCUCUGGAUCUCUUCUCCCCCUUUUCUUGAUGAAGUGGCAGCGAUUAGGUCUCUUUGAUGUGUUGUUACCCUUGAUGAACAUUGUUCCUCUAGAUGAAGGGGAGCCCCUGGCAUCUGGUAUGACCGCUAAUACGAUCAUGGAUGACCGUCUUGCAUUCUGGCACACUGGGGAGGGUCACCUGAAUGCACGGUUAAGAGGUACCCGCUUAUCUGCUCUUGCGGAACUAGGCCAUCAGUCUACCAUAGAUGAGGUUGUCCGUCGAUUUAAUGUCUUUCUGGAAGACAGAGAGACGCCACUCCUCCCACCAGAUGUUCGAAAGGCUGCAUAUGUUGCACUGAUGCAGACCGUGAACAAGUCAAACAAAAGUUCUUUGGCAUCGUCCCCUGACCCUGAUGUUGUUCGUGAAGCGCUGAAUUUCCUGCUAUCGUCUGAGGUAAGGAAUCAGGAUUGCAUAAUUGUGCUUCGCGGAGUGACUGCAGCAGCGCAUGAGGUGGCAUGGACAUGGUUGAAGGAAAACUGGGACUACAUAGCAGAGACCUUCACUGGACACCUGCUCACCUAUUUCAUCACCGUCACUGUCUCACCGCUCGCCACAGACGAGAAGGGUGACGAGGCAGAGGAGUUCUUCAACAGCAGGACCAAGGCAAGCAUAGAAAGGACGGUGAAGUAG